GACGAACGCUGGCGGCGUGCUUAACACAUGCAAGUCGAACGGAAAGGCCCUGCUUUUGUGGGGUGCUCGCGUGGCGCACGGGUGAGUAACACGUGAGUAACCUGCCCUUGACUUUGGGAUAACUUCUGGAAACUGGGGCUAAUACCGGAUAGGAGCUCCUGCUGCAUGGUGGGGGUUGGAAAGUUUCGGCGGUUGGGGAUGGACUCGCGGCUUAUCAGCUUGUUGGUGUGGUAGUGGCUUACCAUGGCUUUGACGGGUAGCCGGCCUGAGAGGGUGACCGGCGACAUUGCGACUGAGAUACGGCCCAGACUCGUACGGGACGCAGCACGGGAGAGUAUUGCACAAUGAGCGGAAGCCUGAUACAGCAACGCCGCGUGCGGGAUAACGGCCUUCGGGUUGUAAACCGCUUUCGCCUGUAACGAAGCGUGAGUGACGGUAAUGUGUAAAGAAGCACCGGCUAACUACGUG
rnacentral:rRNA from 1 species